rnacentral:sRNA from 2 species
CCGCCUACAGCGCCGAGCUCCAUCCAGUAGGCGGAGAGUCAACAACACGGUGGAUGGAGGCGGGGGACCCACCGGUCCGCCCGGAUCGGACCUGGAGCCGUCCGCGGCUCCUAGGGGUGAAGCCACGUCGUUUCCCCGCGGGUGACGACGACGGCCGGGCAACCUCUCCAGCCCGAACCCGACAGCUGACCUCGUGGGCGCGUACAGGGAGGACUU